GCCUGGAGGCCUGGAAUCCGGAUGCCUUGGUGGGCUGGGCUUCUGGCCUUUCAGGGAAGGCUGAACGGAGGCCUGUCCCCUGGAUCCCUCCCCCUGCCCUCCGAGGGUCCCCACACCAAGACACUGGCUAGAUCCCCCCCUCGUCCACUCCCCACCCUCCGUCUCUGUCCAUUUUCUUCAGCAUGGCCAUAAAAACAAUUUCCUCAGCCCCACGGGCUUUGCUGGAACUUUCCUUGUGGGAGUCCGCCAUCUGAAAAGAGAAGAGGAAGAGGAAAUUUUGACAGAGCCAUGUACGGAGGGAAGAUCUUUUAUUGAGGGAGAAGGCCAUCAGCAAGCCAAGGAGAGAGGCUCAACCAUGCCAUGCCAGCACCUUGACCUAAGACUUCUGGCCUCUAGGAUGAUAACCUGAGAGGUGGGAGGGGUAUUUGUCGUAUAAACACAAUCACAG